AGGUUUAGCAAAUUUGACAAACCUAAAAGUAUUAAAUCUUCAUGGGAAUGAAAUCCACAAUUCUCUAUCAAGCCUAGGAUUAAAAAUGUUGAGAAACUUGGAAAAGUUGGAUUUGAGUGAUAUUGGAAUGAGCGGCUCUCUAACAUUGCUAGCAAAUUUGACAAACUUGAAAAGGUUGGAUCUAAGUCGAAAUCAAAUCAACACUUCUCUAGCAAGUUUAGGUUUAAAAUAUUUGAAAAACUUGGAAGAGUUGAAUAUGAUGGACAAUGGAUUCAGCGAAGCUCCUAAUUCACUAGGUAACCAAUAUUUGUCAAAGUUACAAUCAUUUGGUGUUUUCUACCUGCUUUUCAAAUUCGAUUUCU